rnacentral:rRNA from 1 species
GACGAACCACACGAACGUUAUUCGGAAUUACUGGGCUUAAAGGGUGCGUAGGCGGCGUAGCAAGUUGGGUGUGAAAUCCCUCGGCUCAACCGAGGAACUGCGCCCAAAACUGCUAUGCUUGAGGAAGAUAGAGGUAAGCGGAACUUACGGUGGAGCGGUGAAAUGCGUUGAUAUCGUAAGGAACACCUGUGGCGAAAGCGGCUUACUGGGUCUUUUCUGACGCUGAUGCACGAAAGCCAGGGGGAGCAAACGGG